CAUGCAAGUCGAGCGGUAACAGAAAGUAGCUUGCUACUUUGCUGACGAGCGGCGGACGGGUGAGUAAUGCCUGGGAAUUUGCCCAUUCGAGGGGGAUAACAGUUGGAAACGACUGCUAAUACCGCAUACGCCCUACGGGGGAAAGGAGGGGACCUUCGGGCCUUCCGCGAAUGGAUAAGCCCAGGUGGGAUUAGCUAGUAGGUGAGGUAAUGGCUCACCUAGGCGACGAUCCCUAGCUGUUCUGAGAGGAUGAUCAGCCACACUGGGACUGAGACACGGCCCAGACUCCUACGGGAGGCAGCAGUGGGGAAUAUUGCACAAUGGGCGAAAGCCUGAUGCAGCCAUGCCGCGUGUGUGAAGAAGGCCUUCGGGUUGUAAAGCACUUUCAGCGAGGAGGAAAGGUUACUGGCUAAUAUCCAGUAGCUGUGACGUUACUCGCAGAAGAAGCACCGGCUAACUCCGUGCCAGCAGCCGCGGUAAUACGGAGGGUGCGAGCGUUAAUCGGAAUUACUGGGCGUAAAGCGUGCGCAGGCGGUUUGU
rnacentral:rRNA from 1 species